UUAAUAGCGCUCUGCCAUCUCCACAGCAUCUUCCACCCACACCGCUGCCGCAGCUCCCCGCACUCACUCCACCGCCACCACAUCCACCCUCAGCGCCACCACCAUGAGGGAGAUCGUGCACCUGCAGGCUGGCCAGGGUGGCAACCAGAUCCGGGCCAAGUUUUGGGAGGUUAUCAGUGAUGAACAUGGCAUCAACUCCACAGGCACAUACUAUGGGGAUAGUGACCUGCAACUGGAGAGGAUCAACGUGUACUACAACAAGGCCAGAGGAGGAAAUUAUGUUCCCAGAGCAGUGCUGGUGGACCUGGAACCCAGCACCAUGGACUCUGUCCUUUCCAGCCCCUUCGGUCAGAUCUUUCAGCCAGACAACUUCAUGUUUGGCCAAUCUGGAGCCGGCAACAACUGGGCGAAGGGGCACUACAUGGAGUGCAUGAAGCUGGUGAACGCUGUCCUGGAUGUGGUCCAGAAGGAGGCCGAGAGCUGCGACUGCCUUCAAGGCUUCCAGCUGACCCACUCGCUUGGGCGGUGGCAUGGGGUCUGGGAUGGGCACGCUGCUCAUCAGUAAGAUCCGCAAGGAGUUCCCAGACCACAUUAUGAACACCUUCAGCGUGGUGCUCUCACCCAAAGUGUCAGACACGGUGGUGGAGCCCUACAAUGCCACGCUGUCCGUGCACCAGCUGGUGGAGAAUAUGGAUGAGAUCUACUGCAUCGACAAUGAGGCACUCUAUGACAUCUGCUUCUGCACCCUCAAGCUGACCACCCCCACCUACAAGGACCUCAACCACCUGGUGUCGGCCACCACGAGCGGAGUCACCACCUGCCUGUGCUUCCCAGGCCAGCUGAACACCAGCCUGCACAAGCUGGCCAUCAACAUGGUCCCCUUUCCUCACCUGCACUUUUUCAUGCCCGGCUUCACGCCCCUGACCAGCCGGGGCAGCCAGCAGUACUGGGCCCUGACGGUGCCUGAGCUCACCCAGCAGAUGUUGGACACCAAGAACAUGAUGGCCACGUGCAACCCGCACCAAAACUACUACCUGACUGUGGCUGCCGUGUUCCGGGGCCGUGUGUCCAUGAAGGUGGACAAGCAGAUGCUGAGCAUGCAGAGCAAGAACAGCAGUGACUUCGUGGAGUGGAUCCCCAACAACUUGAAGACAGCCAUGUGCAACAUCCCGCCCCAUGGCCUGAAGAUGGCUGUGACCUUCAUUGGCAGUAGCAUGGCCUUCCAGGAGCUGUCAAGCACAUCUCUGAGCAGUUCAAAGCCAUGUUCUGGCGCAAGGCGUUCCUGCACUGGUACACAGGCAAGGGCAUGAAUGAGAUGGAGUUCACCGAGGGUGAGAGCAACAUGAAUGACCUGGUAUCUGAGUACCAGCAGUACCAGGACACCACAGCCGAGGAGGGCGAGUUCAAGGAGAGGGCCAAGGAGGAGAUGGCCUAGGUUGCUCCCAUCGCUUCCCAUCUGUCCCCUCGAGGCUUCUGACCUUUGAUUCCCUAGGACCCUUCAUCUCUGACCCCUAGAGCCCUGCUUUCCCUCCAAGCCUGACUUACCCCUGACCCUAAGACUUUGCCCUGCCCCUAACAAUACCUUUGGAGCUGGCUUUACCUCUGGCUACUUCAUCUCCGACCCUGACUCCCCUUUGACCCUUGAGCCCUAAUUUAUCUCUGACUCCCUUGAGCUCUUCCAACCUUGACAUUCCCAGGAGGAGCCCCGAUUCACCCCUUCUGACUCUGGAAACUGCUCUUUAACUUUAUGGGCCCUCCUUCACCCCGACCUCUGCUUCACCUUUGACCCCUGCCUCCCAUGAAUCCCAUUUUACCUCUAGAACUAUAAGUCCUGGUUUAUGUUUGACCCCUCCCUCUGAGCUGCCCUUCACCUCUGACCUUGCCUCACCUUUAACUCCCCAACUGAGCCCCAUCUCCUACCUCUGACCCCAACUUCUCUUUCACCCAUGAAUCCCCUCUGAUCCCAACUUCUCUUUCACCCCCUACGAACCCCAUUUUACCUCUACACCUGUAAGUCCUGGUUUACAUUGGACCCCUCCCUCCAAGCUGCAGUUCACCUUUGACCUUGCCUCACCUUUCACCCCCACAUAGCCCCAGCUCCUGCCUCUGACUCCAGCUUCUCUCUGGUUCCCACAGACUCCAUGCAUCCUCCCUGUCUCACUCCCCUCAGUCACUGCCGACCUUAGCUUCUCUGGGAGAGAAACAAGGCCUAGUGCCUGUGAGGAAGAGAGGUUGCCCCCUGCCCUCCCUACCCGCUUCACUGCCUCACCCUAAAUAAAUAAAUUGUUUAAAAAAAAAAA